rnacentral:lncRNA from 1 species
CCCGUGACCGGCAGGCGUGGAGGAAAACGGUGCUGGGCGCCGUCGACUCGCCCGCGGCCCGCUUCUUCGGAGCCGCUGAGCGCGCCGUGCUUGAGGACCGCACCUUCGGCGACUGGAUCACGUGCGACCAAGCAGCCGCCGCCAUGCUAAUCCGGCCCGAGAUCGUGCUCAAACAGUCGACGCACCACGCCACGGUGGAGCUGCAUGGGAAGCUCACUCGCGGCCUGAUGGUGGUGGACCGGCGCAGCUGGAGCGAGCCCACAGCUCUUGGCAGGAACGUCACUGUGAUCGAGGCUCUCGACCUCGAGCUCUACAAGAAGAUGCUGCUCGACGCGUUCGGCCAUCCGGGGGUCGUGUUCUGAGGCACGCCGCCGCCGCCGCCGCCGCCGCCGCCGCCGCCGCCGCCGCCGCUACCAGUGGUCAACGUUUGACCAUGGCGGAUAGGAUAAGCAUGCCACCAUUAAGGUCAAUAGUCCGGUGUCCUCCAGGUGGUAAAACGUCGUGCAUACUACGGUGUCGCCAAAUAGAUCAAAAAUGCCACGCCGAAGAAACGCGGGGACUUCUAUGAGAACAAAUAAAAUUCCGCAUAUUCCCCCUUUGUAGCGAGCUGGAGUCAACCCACAGUGGUCGAAGCUGCAUUGCUGCCCAUGUUAACGAUCCGCAGCGGUCAAGUUAAGCCUUUUGUUCGGCAAAAGACGCUUAGGUGACGCUUGUGAUCGUUAUCGCACAUUCGUUGGCAUGUUGGGGAGAUAAUGCGUGAAAUGAAACUAGUGCAUCUCAAUAUAUUCUGAUUAUUCA